rnacentral:antisense_RNA from 1 species
UUCUAUGGCGGGCGGUGCGCGGAGACCGAAAGGUCUGCCGGUCCUCAGGCCGGUCUGCUAACCGCGUACCGUCCGUCACCUCG